rnacentral:rRNA from 1 species
UACGAAGGGGGCUAGCGUUGUUCGGAAUUACUGGGCGUAAAGGGUGCGUAGGUGGCCUUAUAAGUCAGUGGUGAAAGCCUGCAGCUUAACUGUAGGACUGCCAUUGAUACUGUGGGGCUUGAGUACUGAUGAGGUAGGCGGAAUUGAUAGUGUAGCGGUGAAAUGCAUAGAUAUUAUCAAGAACACCGAUUGCGAAGGCAGCUUACUAAGGAGUUACUGACACUGAGGCACGAAAGCGUGGGGGAUCAAAACAGG